ACACAAAAAUGCUAUUGCAUCGGCUGUAUUUUUUCCCUCCCAAAAUUUUCACUAUAUCCACCAAAAAUUAAAAUAAUAUAUAACAUAAAUUAAAGAAGUAUAUAUUGAAAAUUUUCCAUGACUUAAAUAUUUCCCCACUCUCAACCACGCACUGCCAUACGCUCCGACCACAUGCCACCACCGGUACGCUCCUACGACCACACAUGACACACCACCAGCUCCGAUGACCACACACAACACGACACCAGUAGCUCCGACCACACACCACCAGUAGCUCCGACGACACACCAUCAAUUCGAUUUCAGCUUUCAAUUUGCACUUUAAUUUCAGAGCUAAUUUACGAUUUUCUUUUUUUAUUUGAUGAUUUUAAGUUGGGUGCUAUUAGGUGCUCUUAGAGGUGGUUUAGACUUUGCUUUUAGGAAUGAAUUGUGCAGUAAAACGUAUGAAGGGACAAACAUGUCGAGUACCCAUCACUGGGUCAUACAGUAACCUUUGAAAACUUUCUGCAGACUUACGAGAUUUGAGGAGACUGGGCCGUGCUAGCUUAUCUUAAAGACAAAGGCACCGAAAGCUUCCUCCCUGGUCAGUGCUAAUCCAAUCACCUCUCUGAAGCAC